rnacentral:tRNA from 1 species
UGAGUUGUGGCUCAGCAGUAAAGCGCUCACCUGGCACGUGCGAGACCCUGGGUUCGAUCCCCAGCACCACAU